GGGACCACUCAGAAGCUACCCUUCACAGCCAGCUCCUACCCACUCUGUCUCACGCCUGGCAGAUAAAAUGCCUGGAAUCCUUUAUUUAAUUGUUGAACCACGUGGGGCUGCUAUGCUGGGCACUGGAGUUCACAGCCCUGGAAUCCAAUAGGAACCAGCACGGGUGGCGGUGGGGGGUUGGAGGGCCAGCGUGGUGUGUGUGUCCGUGUGUCUGUGUGUAUGCAUGUGUGUGUGCAUGUGUUUGUCUGUGUCUGUGUCCCUGUCUCUGCGUGUGUGUGUGUGUGUGUGUGUAUCUGUGUGUGAGCCUGUCUGUGUGUGGAGUGUGUGCCUGUGCGUGUCUGUGUCUAUGUGUGUAUAUCUCUGUGUCUCUGUAUGCAUGCGUCUGUGUGUGUGUGCACAUGUGUGUGCCCCUAGUGAGUGAGCGCACCAGCGGCACACUGAGGACAGAGCCACCAUGAGAGCAUGGCCAGUUUCCCCCACUGAGCUCUCCUGUGGUGAGCACGGGCAGACCUGGUGGUGAAAAGCAAGGAUGUGCAGUUUUUUAAGAACACCGAGCUAUGGUGUCAGAAGGGAAACACCAGCUGAUGGUC
rnacentral:lncRNA from 1 species